rnacentral:rRNA from 1 species
CAGGGAUUACCUCAGUAACGGCGAGUGAAGCGGUAACAGCUCAAAUUUGAAAUCUGGCUCUUUCAGGGUCCGAGUUGUAAUUUGUAGAAGAUGCUUUGGGCAUUGCUCCGGUCUAAGUUCCUUGGAACAGGACGUCAUAGAGGGUGAGAAUCCCGUAUGUGACUGGUGGCAUUUGUCCGUGUAAAGCUCUUUCGACGAGUCGAGUUGUUUGGGAAUGCAGCUCAAAAUGGGUGGUAUAUUUCAUCUAAAGCUAAAUAUUGGCCAGAGACCGAUAGCGCACAAGUAGAGUGAUCGAAAGAUGAAAAGCACUUUGGAAAGAGAGUUAAACAGUACGUGAAAUUGUUGAAAGGGAAGCGCUUGCAACCAGACUUGCAGGUCGUUGAUCAUCCGGGGUUCUCCCCGGUGCACUCGGCGGCUUUCAGGCCAGCAUCGGUUUGAGUGGUGGGAUAAAGGCCUUGGGAAUGUGGCUCCUUUCGGGGAGUGUUAUAGCCCAAGGUGCAAUGCCGCCUAUUCGGACCGAGGACCGCGCUUCGGCUAGGAUGCUGGCGUAAUGGUUGUAAGCGACCCGUCUUGAAACACGGACCAAGGAGUCUAACAUCUAUGCGAGUGUUUGGGUGUCAAACCCAUACGCGUAAUUAACGUGAACGGAGGUAAGAACCCUUAAGGGUGCAUUAUCGACCGAUCCUGAUGUCUUCGGAUGGAUUUGAGUAAGAGCAUAGCUGUUGGGACCCGAAAGAUGGUGAACUAUGCCUGAAUAGGGUGAAGCCAGAGGAAACUCUGGUGGAGGCUCGCAGCGGUUCUGACGUGCAAAUCGAUCGUCAAAUUUGGGUAUAGGGGCCGAAAGACUAAUCGAACCAU